UACGUAGGGUGCGAGCGUUAAUCGGAAUUACUGGGCGUAAAGCGUGCGCAGGCGGUUUGUUAAGACAGAUGUGAAAUCCCCGGGCUUAACCUGGGAACUGCAUUUGUGACUGGCAAGCUAGAGUAUGGCAGAGGGGGGUAGAAUUCCACGUGUAGCAGUGAAAUGCGUAGAGAUGUGGAGGAAUACCGAUGGCGAAGGCAGCCCCCUGGGCCAAUACUGACGCUCCAUGCACGAAAGGCGUGGGGAGCAAACGAGG
rnacentral:rRNA from 1 species